GAGAGAGAGAGAGAGAGAGAGAGAGAGAGGGAGAGAGAGAGAGAGAGAGAGAGAGAGAGAGAGAGAAACCUUUCAUCUGAUCCAUAAUGUGCAAAGUUUCAGCCUUGGCUGGAGUUUUCAAUUUACGAUCAGUGACAAGUUCAACUCCAAGCAUCAAACCUCUUCCCCUUACAUCGCCGAUAACU